rnacentral:rRNA from 1 species
CCUACGGGAGGCAGCAGUGGGGAAUAUUGGACAAUGGGCGCAAGCCUGAUCCAGCAAUGCCGCGUGUGUGAAGAAGGCCUGCGGGUUGUAAAGCACUUUCAGUGGGGAAGAACGGAUACGGGCCAAUACCCCGCAUCACUGACGUUACCCACAGAAGAAGCACCGGCUA